rnacentral:rRNA from 1 species
UUAGAUACCCCACUAUGCUUAGCCUUAAACCUCAAUAAUUUGACAACAAAAUUAUUUGCCAGAGAACUACUAGCUACAGCCUAAAACUCAAAGGACUUGGCGGUACUUUAUAUCCACCUAGAGGAGCCUGU